rnacentral:rRNA from 1 species
ACUCGGGGAUAGCCUUUCGAAAGAAAGAUUAAUACCCGAUGGCUCCGCAUGUAUAAAGAAUUUCGGUCAUCGAUGGGGAUGCGUUCCAUUAGGUUGUUGGCGGGGUAACGGCCCACCAAGCCUUCGAUGGAUAGGGGUUCUGAGAGGAAGGUCCCCCACAUUGGAACUGAGACACGAUCCAACUUUUACGGGAGGCAGCAGUGAGGAAUAUUGGUCAAUGGGCGUAAGCCUGAACCAGCCAAGUCGCGUGAGGGAUGAAGGUUUAUGGAUCGUAAACCUCUUUUAUAAGGGAAUAAGUGCGGGACGUGUCCCGUUUUGUAUGUACCUUAGAAUAAGGAUCGGCUAACUCCGUGCCAGCAGCCGCGGUAAUACGGAGGAUCCGAGCGUUAUCCGGAUUUAUUGGGUUUAAAGGGUGCGUAGGCGGCCUUUUAAGUCAGCGGUGAAAGUCUGUGGCUCAACCAUAGAAUUGCCGUUGAAACUGGGAGGCUUGAGUAUGUUUGA